rnacentral:ncRNA from 10 species
UCCACGCAUUAAGACUUGGGAGACCAAGCCAACCUGCCGGUCCAGGCAAGGUGGUUACGAGAAAUCGGAUGUGAGCUAUUUCAAGCUAACAAAUGGACUCUC